rnacentral:rRNA from 1 species
GGAGAAAGCAGGGGAUCGCAGGACCUUGCGCUUUUGGAGCGGCCGAUGUCUGAUUAGCUUGUUGGUAAGGUAAAAGCUUACCAAGGCUUCGAUCAGUAGCUGGUCUGAGAGGACGACCAGCCACACUGAGACUGAGACACGGCCCAGACUCCUACGGGAGGCAGCAGUGGGGAAUUUUGGACAAUGGGGGCAACCCUGAUCCAGCCAUGCCGCGUGAGUGAAGAAGGCCUUCGGGUUGUAAAGCUCUUUCAGCCGGAACGAAACGGUUACGGUUAAUACCCGUGACUACUGACGGUACCGGAAGAAGAAGCACCGGCUAACUACGUGCCAGCAGCCGCGGUAAUACGUAGGGUGCGAGCGUUAAUCGGAAUUACUGGGCGUAAAGCGUGCGCAGGUGGUUUUGUAAGUCAGAUGUGAAAUCCCCGGGCUCAACCUGGGAACUGCGUUUGAAACUACAAAGCUAG